AUGGAGAAAUACUAUAAGAACAGAAAAACAAAUCAAAACCUCUCCUCCUUCAUCGCCAGCUGCACGUUUAACCGUUCGUCUGACUACUCUCCCGUUAUCAAGUUCAUACUUGAUAGAAAUACUCCUCACAUUCUCAUUUUGUUUCUCCGCAGCUUUCGUCCGACCACCCUCUCGUUAUCAGAUCUUCAUACAUGCUGA